GCGAAAGCAGGUCUUAGUGAUCCGGUGGUUCUGAAUGGAAGGGCCAUCGCUCAACGGAUAAAAGGUACUCCGGGGAUAACAGGCUGAUACCGCCCAAGAGUUCAUAUCGACGGCGGUGUUUGGCACCUCGAUGUCGGCUCAUCACAUCCUGGGGCUGAAGUAGGUCCCAAGGGUAUGGCUGUUCGCCAUUUAAAGUGGUACGCGAGCUGGGUUUAGAACGUCGUGAGACAGUUCGGUCCCUAUCUGCCGUGGGCGCUGGAGAAUUGAGGGGGGCUGCUCCUAGUACGAGAGGACCGGAGUGGACGCAUCACUGGUGUUCGGGUUGUCAUGCCAAUGGCACUGCCCGGUAGCUAAAUGCGGAAGAGAUAAGUGCUGAAAGCAUCUAAGCACGAAACUUGCCCCGAGAUGAGUUCUCCCUGAGACUUUGAGUCUCCUGAAGGAACGUUGAAGACGACGACGUUGAUAGGUCGGGUGUGUAAGUGUAGCGAUACAUUGAGCUAACCGAUACUAAUGAACCGUGAGGCUUAACCUUACAACGCCGAAG
rnacentral:rRNA from 1 species